rnacentral:rRNA from 1 species
CCUACGGGGUGCAGCAGUGAGGAAUAUUGGUCAAUGGACGCAAGUCUGAACCAGCCAUGCCGCGUGCAGGAAGACUGCUCUAUGAGUUGUAAACCGCUUUUGUACGAGGGUAAACUCAGAUACGCGUAUCUGUCUGAAAGUAUCUUACGAAUAAGCAUCGGCUAACUCCGUGCCAGCAGCCGCGGUAAUACGGAGGAUUCAAGCGUUAUCCGGAUUUAUUGGGUUUAAAGGGUGUGUAGGCGGUCGGAUAAGUUAGGGGUGAAAUCCCGAGGCUCAACUUCGGAAUUGCCUCUGAAACUGUUCGGCUAGAGAGUGGUAGCGGUAGGCGGAAUGUAUGGUGUAGCGGUGAAAUGCUUAGAGAUCAUACAGAACACCGAUUGCGAAGGCAGCUUACCAAGCUACGUCUGACGUUGAGGCACGAAAGCGUGGGGAGCAAACAGGAUUAGAUACCCGAGUAGUC